UACGUAGGGGGCGAGCGUUGUCCGGAGUUACUGGGCGUAAAGGGCACGCAGGCGGUGCGGCGCGUUUCGCGUGACAGCGGAGGGCUUAACUCUCCGAGGAUGCGAAAGACGGCGGCACUUGAGGGCCAGAGAGGGACACGGAAUUCCGGGUGGAGUGGUGAAAUGCGUAGAGAUCCGGAGGAACACCGAAGGCGAAGGCAGUGUCCUGGCUGGUGACUGACGCUGAGGAGCGAAAGCGUGGGGAGCAAACAGG
rnacentral:rRNA from 1 species